UACAGAGGGGGCAAGCGUUAUUCGGAAUUAUUAGGCGUAAAGGGCGCGUAGGCGGCUUGGCAAGUGGAUGGUGAAAUCCCUCGGCUUAACCGAGGAACUGCCGUCCAAACUGCUUCGCUUGAGACCGGGAGAGGUGAGUGGAAUUCCCAGUGUAGCGGUGAAAUGCGUAGAUAUUGGGAAGAACACCGGUGGCGAAGGCGGCGAGCUGGUCCAUUACUGACGCUGAGGCGCGACAGCGUGGGGAGCAAACAGG
rnacentral:rRNA from 1 species